UGUUAUUUUCGGCCAAGAGACAAUAUUUUUCGAAUUUAUUAUACAUGGGGACCCUAUAGAAUUUGUCUGACGAUAUUUGUAUCUGUGCAAAUAAAUAAAUUAAUUUGAGUGCAGGUAUGGGUUGCGUUGGAGUUCAUUGUGAAAUUCGUCAGGUACCUUUGUGUAUCAUUUUUACUUUUUCUAUUACAUAAUAUAUUCAGAGUUUACACACGUACAUAAUGGGAAUCAGUUGUUCAUGAAUGAAGUAUUUCCGCAGUUGAGUUUAACGCCUACAUGUGUCUGAGACUUCUUCAGAUAAUUUGACGAUCGUUUUUAUUCAUUCUGAUUUAGAGGUUCGUUAUAAAGAAUUGAUUUUUGCCUGAGAUUAAUAAAUUAAUGGUUUUGUGUUUAACCCUUAAUAUACAAGGGUUUUUGGUUUGGAGAGAAAACUCAAUUUUUGGUUUGAUGAGAAAACUCAAUUUUUGGUUUGGAGAGAAGACUCAAUUUUUGGUUUGGAGAGAAAUCUCAAUUUAUGGUUUGGAGAAAUAUCCCAAUUUUUGGUUUGAAGAGAAGUUCCAUUUUCUUGGUUUGGAAAGAAGUUCCAUUCAAGUUGGGUUUGAAGAAGGAAAUUCCAGUUUUUCUUUGAAGAGAGAAAUAGCAGUACCUACGUCGAGACCUACGUAUAGUUGAAUAAGGCGGAUACGAAAUCUACGCUGUGGA